CCUACGGGAGGCAGCAGUGAGGAAUAUUGGUCAAUGGACGAGAGUCUGAACCAGCCAAGUAGCGUGAAGGAUGACUGCCCUAUGGGUUGUAAACUUCUUUUAUAUGGGAAUAAAAUGUUCCACGUUUGGGAUUUUGUAUGUACCAUAUGAAUAAGGAUCGGCUAACUCCGUGCCAGCAGCCGCGGUAAUACGGAGGAUCCGAGCGUUAUCCGGAUUUAUUGGGUUUAAAGGGAGCGUAGGUGGAUUGUUAAGUCAGUUGUGAAAGUUUGCGGCUCAACCGUAAAAUUGCAGUUGAAACUGGCAGUCUUGAGUACAGUAGAGGUGGGCGGAAUUCGUGGUGUAGCGGUGAAAUGCUUAGAUAUCACGAAGAACUCCGAUUGCGAAGGCAGUUCACUGGACUGCAACUGACACUGAGGCUCGAAAGUGUGGGUAUCAAACAGGAUUAGAUACCCCUGUAGUC
rnacentral:rRNA from 1 species